UACAGAGGGGGCAAGCGUUAUUCGGAAUUAUUGGGCGUAAAGGGCGCGUAGGCGGCUUGGCAAGUGGAAGGUGAAAGCCCUCGGCUCAACCGAGGAACUGCGCUUGAAACUGUUGGGCUCGAGUCAGCUAGAGGUGCACGGAACUUCCAGUGGAGCGGUGAAAUGUGUUGAUAUUGGAAGGAACACCGGAGGCGAAAGCGGUGCACUGGGGCUGGUCUGACGCUGAGGCACGAAAGCCAGGGGAGCGAACGGG
rnacentral:rRNA from 1 species